rnacentral:rRNA from 1 species
AGUGAACGCUGGCGGUAGGCCUAACACAUGCAAGUCGAACGGCAGCACAGUAAGAGCUUGCUCUUACGGGUGGCGAGUGGUGGACGGGUGAGGAAUACAUCGGAAUCUACUUUUUCGCGGGGGAUAACGUAGGGAAACUUACGCUAAUACCGCAUACGACCUACGGGUGAAAGCAGGGGAUCUUCGGACCUUGCGCGAUUGAAUGAGCCGAUGUCGGAUUAGCUAGUUGGCGGGGUAAAGGCCCACCAAGGCGACGAUCCGUAGCUGGUCUGAGAGGAUGAUCCGCCACACUGGAACUGAGACACGGUCCAGACUCCUACGGGAGGCAGCAGUGGGGAAUUUUGGAAAAUGGGGGCAAGCCUGACCCAGCCAUACCGGGGGGGUGAAGAAGGCCUUCGGGUUUUAAAGCCCUUUUGUUGGGAAAAAAAAGCAGCAGGUUAAUACCCCGCUGUUCUGACGGUACCCAAAAAAAAAGCCCCGGCUAACUUCGG